GCAAACACUUAGGCACAUAUAUUAAAAUUGGAAGGAUACAGAGAUUACCAUGGCCCCUGUGCAAGGAGGACAUGCAAAUUCCAAGGAUGACAUGUAAAUUCAU
rfam:Chlorocebus sabaeus isolate 1994-021 chromosome 2, whole genome shotgun sequence.